GAUGAACGCUAGCGGCAGGCUUAAUACAUGCAAGUCGUGGGGCAGCAUGAGUGUAGCAAUACAUUUGAUGGCGACCGGCAAACGGGUGCGGAACACGUACAGAACCCUCCUUCAAGCGGGGCAUAGCCCAGAGAAAUUUGGAUUAAUACCCCAUAAUAUAAUGAAGAGGCAUCUCUUUGUUAUUAAAGAUUUAUCACUUGAAGAUGGCUGUGCGGCUGAUUAGGUAGUUGGCGGGGUAACGGCCCACCAAGCCUGCGAUCAGUAACUGGUGUGAGAGCACGACCAGUCACACGGGCACUGAGACACGGGCCCGACUCCUACGGGAGGCAGCAGUAAGGAAUAUUGGUCAAUGGACGCAAGUCUGAACCAGCCAUGCCGCGUGGAGGAUGAAGGUCCUCUGGAUUGUAAACUUCUUUUAUAUGGGACGAAAAAAGGCUUUUCUAAGUCGUCUGACGGUACCAUAUGAAUAAGCACCGGCUAACUCCGUGCCAGCCGCCGCAGUAAAAC
rnacentral:rRNA from 1 species